UCUGCACACCUUCCAUGGAGGUGCUUGCUUUGAAAUAUGUUUUAAAAUUUCAAAAUCAGGAGAAGCCCUAACCAUUCUAUACUAUACCAUUCCCCUUAUUUAUCAUUUCAUCUAACCCUAACUCCCUACUCCUCUCUCGCCAAGCUCCCCCACACCAGGAACUCGCGUCGCGUCGCGCCUAGCCGCUGACCAUCGCAAUCUACUCGAAGCCUUUUCUUCGUUUCUUCUCUCCUAGCUGCGCCGCAACCCAUCAUCUUCCAGGAUUAGAACUUGCGUUUGGUCGUUCAUCUUCCCUCUCUCAAUUGGUUAUUUGUACAUUUUGACUCUUAAAGACAGAGCAAAGCUACAUUCAUGGGUGAUUCCUGUUUCUAAUCAAAUUACAAGAUUUGUACAUUAGUUGAUGUUUAUACAUAUCACCCCGUCCACCAUGGCAGACGCCACCGUGCUCUCCUUAGCUGGAUACCGCCACAACGCUGUUUUGGACUGGCUGUUGUGUUUUCACGACACAGUAAACCAAGUAGUUCCACAUGAGAAAUAGAGGGAGUUGGGUUUUGUGUUCAGGUUCACAGCUACCACCCCAAGAGCAUGUUUUGCUGUAAGUUGACUUGGGACACAGGUUUUUCCUCUUCCCCGACGAGCUGCCACAGCUGCAGAGAAGAAAAGUUGGACCUUCUCUGAAUUUUUAGUGUUCUUGAAUAGUUGAAUGUUUUAAGAGUUCAUAUGUUGUAUGUGAAAGAGAAGAGAAAGUCAAAGCAACAUAACAACCAAUGUUUAAUCACAUCUGAAAGAGCAAGAGAAAUAGCUAGAUAGUGAAUAUAUUAAGAGUGGACUGGGCGAGCCCCUAGAGGGGCAACGCCCAGCAUGCAUCCCGCCCUGAGGCGGGGCCCUGGCCUUAAGUUGGGCCUUGAUCUCGGAGGCCCAAUUGGCCCAAUAGGUAGUAUCCAAGCUCUAUAAAUAGGAGGCAGUUACCAAUUGUAGGGGACUUUUGGCUCAUUUAUGAAAUCAUACAUGAA